UUUAGCUUCAGUUUACGUACAACAUGUUCAAUAUGCUGUUUAAAGGACAAAUUUUCAUCAAUAACAAAGCCUAAAUACUUAUAAGAAGAGACCAUUUGGAUUUCUUUUCCAUCAGCUGUUUUUAUUUUAGGAAGCUGAGAGGGUAGCUGAUUUCUGUUUGAGAAAACCAUAGCUUUAGAUUUGUCCGCAUUUAACACUAGUGUCAGCUGAUUUAGAUGAGACUGAACAGCAUCAGUUUUAUAUAAGAGACUUCUAUAAUAGGCCUAUCCAUUAUACAUGAUAGUAGGCCUACCCAUAAUAGUUUGAAUUAUUUUUGUUUUUUCUUUCUUUUUAUUUCUACUGAACAACCUCCUGGUCCCCAUUGGGAAAACGUUCUGCCUAGGCUAUUUCAUUAUAUUUUAUCCAAUGUAAAAUACUGAUUAUUCCAUUUGUCAAAAUUUUAAAGAUGUCAGGGAAGAGGCAAAGGAGCAUUCUUUCAUGCUUUGCUCUAAAAGAUCAGCUCCCUAAAAAGGUGGCUAGGUCAGAGGAGGAGACUGUGGAUAAGAGAGUGGAGGAGGCAGUUAGGGAACCAGUAGAGGAUGGGUCCAUGAAAGAGACUGUGGAGGACACCAUAGAGGAAACAGUGGAGAGCCCACUGGAAACAGGGAGAAAGAGAGGGUUAAGUGGAGCAGCCACCUAUAGGUGUUCCUUUAAGAAGGAGUGGUCAACCCAAUGGCCGUUCAUCACAAUGGGAACCACCAGCUCUUUUUACUGGUGCUCAGUCUGCAGACAAGAGAGCUCCUGUGCCCAUCAAGGUGUGAGGGACAUCAAACCAAGGAACAGGCUCUAAAAUCAGUUAGCAGUGUUGCACAGUUCUACACACCAGGAACUUCUGUUGGAGGCAUGAGUGUACAAGAGGCCAAGACCAGGAGGGCUGAGGUGAAGGUUGCCGUUGCAAUGGUGCAGCACAAUGUUCCAAUUGCCGAUGCUGAACAUUUCAGCCCCUUGUACAAAUAAUGUUUUGGAGACUCCCCCACGGUUCAUAGCUUUCAGAGAGCAAGCACCAAAACAACGUGCAUCAUAAAUGAAGCAGUGGCACCUCAUAUUAAGAAGGAACUGGUGAUGAAGAUGAGAGAGAAUCCCUUCACACUUGUCACAGAUGGCUCAAAUGAUACUGGUCUAGAGAAGAUGAAUCCCCUCACAGUACGAAUAUUUGACAGCAACAAAGUUGUGCACAGAUUCUUUGAUAUGUGCACCACAAGUGAGCGGUACUGUGGAACUGCUGAAGUUAUUUAUAAAAAAAUCAAUGACACCCUGUAGGAAAGCAACAUCCCUUGGAGAAACUGUAUAUCCGGUUUUGAUCCUGAAGAUCUGGCAGUGGAUGUUGGGUAUUGGUUUAAGGGAAGCACCAAUCGUAAAGGUUACCUGGCAGCUUUAGGUGGUGUUGGCGCAGUGGAUAAGACACAUGCCAUUGGCGUCAGGAAGCAGACAGAC